rnacentral:lncRNA from 1 species
AAAUAUCGUGGGUCAUACCCGACCCAAAACUUAGGGACUGGAUCAAAGUCUCGUUGAGUCAUAAACUGAUGCUGGUUUGUACCGAGUUAUACGAGAUAAACCGGUUCGGUUCGGGAGGAGAUGGGUUUAAUGUCAGAUAUACCUCUGAAGAUAUAGGAAAUUACUUGUCGGAUCUUUACUUUGGAAGCAGAGGGUCCGGGUCAGGGAGUGUCUCGACUAAAGGAUCCGGAUCCGGAACCGGAACCGGUUCGUCGAGUACCGGUAAAUCUCGGGGAGGACGUAGCCAUUGAAUGAGAAUCAUGCAUGAUCCUAUCGUUUUCUUCUUUUUUGUACAUAUAUGCUAAAUUAAUAUUGACUGAAUUCUCCAUUCUAUCAUUUAGUAAUCCUUCUUUUUUUAUUUUUGGAAUUUUGUGUUAAUAAACGACAAAAUAAAAUACGAUGAUUAUAUCCGACGCUUGGAGAUUUAAUAAGAACAAAGACGAGUUAUAAGUAGCUAUCACUCAUCACUAAUUGCUAGUUGUAAUUUGGAAUUGUGUUUCCAGUCUUGACUAAUUGUGAUUUGGUGGUUUAUAUAACUCCAAGUUGGUUAAUACGAGUUCACAUGGUUAUGAGACAAUACAAGUAAAAGAAUAUUAAAUACGAAUUCAAUGACACAUUGCUUACCGAAUAAGCACGGAGCAUUGCAUUAAAUUUGUAAGUUGUUAACGAGACAGAGAGGUUGAGAACGAUCACGAAUCUUAUCAUACUACUCAUUAAUGUUUCUUGUUAGGCGACUUGGUAUAUUCAACCUCACGUUGUAAUUUUAUAUAAACGUCAAAGAUAUCUAAUCUUAUAUAAAUCAAAGAUAUUCAAGUCCUCGCGUUAUAUUUCUUUUGCAAUUGUCCAUAUGUCUAAACUAAAUUUUGAUCGAUAGAAAUGUCAUUCCCAAGAAUAAUUAUAUCUGAUAAUGUUUAGUUUACAUGAAAAGAAAUUAAAACAUCCCAAUCUUUUUUUGCUAGUGAAUCUGUGUGAAUCAUCCCUGCUCAUGGAGAUAUGGAUCACUAGGCCUGAGCGUUUUUAACUCAACCCGAAGUACCUACCUAGAUCUGAACCGGAAAAACCGAAACCGAAUCCGAACUGUUAUACAAAAAUAUCCGAACGGGACUUAUGAGCUUAGUACUUUGGUGUUUGGUUAUAAUCCGAACCGAACCGACAUCCGAACUAGGAUCCGAAGAUAUCUGAAAUUAGUUAAAUAUGUUAAUAUUUUUAUAUAUUUAAGAUGAUUUAGAUAUUUUAGGAUAUUCAAAAUAUUUUUUUAGUUUGUUUUAAUUGUUAUUUUGAAUACUUUUUAGUUAAUUUAGAUAGUUUAACUAAUUUUUAAUUAUAUUUGUAAACAAUUUAUAUAUUUUGAAAACAAAAUUGUCAAUUUUUAAGGUUUAAACAAAAAUAUUUUUGGACGAUUUUAAACAUUGGUUACAUCCAAUCCGAACCGAAUCCGAAAGGAACCGAAGAGGAGCUCUACUCCUCUCCGGUGUCCGUGCGAAUCGCGUGGGUGAUUCUUCUCACUCUUUGCAAGAUCGACGGCAAAGCUCAGCCGUAUAAAGACGUGGCUCUGUCUUACCUCUUCCUCGCUAAUAAUCUCCAAUACGUCGUCGUAAAGGUUCGAACGUCUAACGUGAAGCUCCUCCUCGGGGAGGAUUGGGUGGUGAGGCACGAGGGGAAGGUGAAGCAGUACGCGGAUAAGUUCGAGAAGCUCGCGUGGGGGAAAGUGCUGACGUCGUUACCGGAAUAUAAGGCGGAGGAGAUCACACCGGAGGAGGCUAAGGAGUUGUUAGUCAGGUUCGACGACGAGUUCGAGGCGUCGUACCGGAAGCAAAUAUCGUGGGUCAUACCCGACCCAAAACUUAGGGACUGGAUCAAAGUCUCGUUGAGUCAUAAACUGAUGCUGGUUUGUACCGAGUUAUACGAGAUAAACCGGUUCGGUUCGGGAGGAGAUGGGUUUAAUGUCAGAUAUACCUCUGAAGAUAUAGGAAAUUACUUGUCGGAUCUUUACUUUGGAAGCAGAGGGUCCGGGUCAGGGAGUGUCUCGACUAAAGGAUCCGGAUCCGGAACCGGAACCGGUUCGUCGAGUACCGGUAAAUCUCGGGGAGGACGUAGCCA